GAUCAUGGCUCAGAUUGAACGCUGGCGGCAUGCCUUACACAUGCAAGUCGAACGGCAGCACGGGAGCUUGCUCCUGGUGGCAAGUGGCGAACGGGUGAGUAAUACAUCGGAACGUACCCUGAAGUGGGGAUAACGUAGCGAAAGUUACGCUAAUACCGCAUAUUCUGUGAGCAGGAAAGAGGGGGAUCGCAAGACCUCUUGCUUUAGGAGCGGCCGAUGUCGGAUUAGCUAGUUGGUGAGGUAAAGGCUCACCAAGGCGACGAUCCGUAGCGGGUCUGAGAGGAUGAUCCGCCACACUGGGACUGAGACACGGCCCAGACUCCUAUGGGAGGCAGCAGUGGGGAAUUUUGGACAAUGGGCGCAAGCCUGAUCCAGCCAUGCCGCGUGAGUGAAGAAGGCCUUCGGGUUGUAAAGCUCUUUCGGUGGGGAAGAAAUUGCUUCGGUUAAUACCUGGAGUAGAUGACGGUACCCGCAUAAGAAGCACCGGCUAACUACGUG
rnacentral:rRNA from 1 species